rnacentral:rRNA from 1 species
UACGUAGGGGGCAAGCGUUGUCCGGAGUUACUGGGCGUAAAGACGCACGCAGGCGGUCUCUUAAGUUUGGAAGUGACAGUUGGUGGCUUAACUGCCAAAGUGCUUCGAAAACUGAGAGACUUGAGGGCUUCAGAGGGACACGGAAUUCCGGGUGGAGUGGUGAAAUGACGUAGAUAUUCGGAAGAACACCAGUGGCGAAGGCGACUCACUGGCCCGAUACUGACGCUGAGGCGCGAAAGCGUGGGAGCAAACAGG